rnacentral:lncRNA from 1 species
AUGUAUGUCUAAGUUUAGAAAAUAGUAUAAACAUAAAUUUUACAGUCACAAUGUGAAGGUGGUUGAGAAGGAAACAGUAAUGAAAAGUUGAGGUUACAUAUUUGGUGGCUCUCAUGGUGGUGGUGGCUACGGUGAUGGUGGCUGACUGAUGUAUGUGGUUAUGGAAGAGUUGAUAGUGAUUAUAAAUGAGAUAGUGAUGAUUAUGGAGGAAGAGAUAGUGAUCGAAGAUGCGGUGGUUGAUAGGAAGGAAACAACGAUAAAUAUGAAAGAUGUAAAAAAUAUUACAGAUCUGGCAGUGGUCGUAGUGAAGGUGGCUACGGU